GAUGAACGCUGGCGGCGUGCCUAAUACAUGCAAGUCGAGCGAACGGACGAGAAGCUUGCUUCUCUGAUGUUAGCGGCGGACGGGUGAGUAACACGUGGAUAACCUACCUAUAAGACUGGGAUAACUUCGGGAAACCGGAGCUAAUACCGGAUAAUAUUUUGAACCGCAUGGUUCAAAAGUGAAAGACGGUCUUGCUGUCACUUAUAGAUGGAUCCGCGCUGCAUUAGCUAGUUGGUAAGGUAACGGCUUACCAAGGCAACGAUGCAUAGCCGACCUGAGAGGGUGAUAGGCCACACUGGAACUGAGACACGGUCAAGACGCCUACGGGAGGCAGCAGUAGGGAAUCUUCCGCAAUGGGCGAAAGCAUGACGGAGCAACGCCGCGUGAGUGAUGAAGGUCUUCGGAUCGUAAAAAUCUGUUAUUAGGGAAGAACAGAUGUGUAAGUAACUGUGCACAGCUUGACGGUACCUAAUCAGAAAGCCACGGCUAACUACGUG
rnacentral:rRNA from 1 species